rnacentral:lncRNA from 1 species
CUCCCCGCCCGCGCCCCGGCGCCCCCGCGCCCCGCCCGCCGCCCUCACCGCGGCCUGUGCGCUGUCCGGCGCCCCCUCGGCGCUCCCCGCAGGUUCGUGGCCGUGGCCGUGCCGCUGCGCUACAACCGGCAGGGUGGGAGCCGCCGGCAGCUGCUGCUCAUCGGCGCCACGUGGCUGCUGUCCGCGGCGGUGGCGGCGCCC